CCUACGGGAGGCAGCAGUGAGGAAUCUUGGUCAAUGGGCGCGAGCCUGAACCAGCCAAGUAGCGUGAAGGAUGAAUGCCCUACGGGUUGUAAACUUCUUUUAUAAAGGAAUAAAGUGAGGCAAGUGAGCCUUUUUGUAUGUACUUUAUGAAUAAGGAUCGGCUAACUCCGUGCCAGCAGACGCGGUACUACGUAGGAUCCGAGCGUUAUCCGGAUUUAUUGGGUUUAAAGGGAGCGUAGAUGGGUUGUUAAGUCAGUUGUGAAAGUUUGCGGCUCAACCGUAAAAUUGAAAUUGAGACUGGCAGUCUUGAGUACAGUUGAGGUAGGCGGAAUUCGUGGUGUAGCGGUGAAAUGCUUAGAUAUCACGAAGAACUCCGAUGGCGAAGGCAGCUUACUAAACUGCCACUGACAUUGAUGCUCGAAAGUGUGGGUAUCAAACAGGAUUAGAUACCCGAGUAGUC
rnacentral:rRNA from 1 species